rnacentral:lncRNA from 1 species
UUGGUCUUUUGUUUUAACUUUCCUGAGCUAGGAGUGGUGGCACAUCUGUAAUCCCAGCAUUCUGAGAAAUUGGAACCAAGCGAAUCGAAAGUUCGAGCCCAGCCUGGGAAAUUUAGCAACUGAGCUAGACCUGAGUUCGAUCCCCAGAAGCCCAGGAGAGAGUCUGCUUCUCUGCACCUUGCUACUUAGUGGCUCUGCCUCCUAAGUUCUGUGCUCUCAG